rnacentral:rRNA from 1 species
UACGUAGGGUGCAGGCGUUAAUCGGAAUUACUGGGCGUAAAGCGUGCGCAGGCGGUUUGUUAAGACAGAUGUGAAAUCCCCGGGCUUAACCUGGGAACUGCGUUUGUUACUGGCAAGCUGGAGUGUGGCAGAGGGGGGUAGAAUUCCAAGUGUAGCAGUGAAAUGCGUAGAUAUUUGGAGGAAUACCGAUGGCGAAGGCAGCCCCCUGGGCUAACACUGACGCUCAUGCACGAAAGCGUGGGGAGCAAACAGG